rnacentral:misc_RNA from 1 species
UCCCGCUUAUCACGGGCAGUUCCCCUAAAGUGCCCAGCUUGACCUGCUGGCAACCAAGGGUGUGGGUUGCGCUCGUUGCCGGACCUAACCGAACAUCUCACGACACGAGCUGACGACAGCCAUGCACCACCUGUCAGGGGCCCUUACGGACACCGUAUCUCUGCGGCUUUUCCCCUGAUGUCAAGCCCAGGUAAGGUUCUUCGCGUUGCCUCGAAUUAAACCACAUGCUCCACCGCUUGUGCAGGCCCCCGUCAAUUCCUUUGAGUUUCGGUCUUGCGACCGUACUCCCCAGGCGGAGUGUUUCACGCGUUAGCUGGGCCCCUGAUCCACGUAGACCAAGGGCGAACACUCAUCGUUUACGGCAUGGACUGC